rnacentral:rRNA from 1 species
AUGUGUGGGAACCUGUCAUCUAUUUCUUCAAACUUCUGGUGGGGUGAAGCAGAUGGUCACAAGAAGGUGCAUUGGAUUGGGUGGGAGAAGAUGUGCACGCGAAAGCACGAAGGAGGCUUGGGUUUUAGGGACCCCGAAGCGUUUAACCAAGCUAUGGUUGCCAAAGCAGCGUGGUGCUUGUUUCAGGUGCCAAACUCGAUGUGUGGACGGGUUCCGAAGGCACGGUAUUUUCCCGAUGGGUCGAUUCUGAAUGCUACGUGUCCUUCUGGGGGAUCAUACACAUUCUGAAGCAUUUUGCAUGGUCGUGACCUACUUACUGAUGGUUUGAUCUGGCGCAUUGGUGAUGGCUCGCGAGUUCUGAUCCACCAUGAUAAUUGGCUCCCGAGGAGAGGUAGCCUGAGGCCACUGGGCCAAAGCUACAUCGACGACAUUACUCGCGUGAGGGAUCUGCUCGAAGCCGAUGGCAUCUCAUGGGAUAGAAAUAAGGUGCAGGACAUGUUUGCUCUGGAGGAAGUCCAAGAAAUUCUUCAAAUACCAGUCGGGGGCGGGGGUGCAAGACUACCAAGCUUGGAACUAUACCAGGAAUGGUAUCUUCUUGGUCCACUCGGCGUACCAUCUACGCAUGAGCCAGAAGCGGGUGAGAUCCGGACGGCCAUACUCUUCAUCCUCGGUGGUGGAUCAUAA